rnacentral:rRNA from 1 species
AUUGAACGCUGGCGGCAGGCCUAACACAUGCAAGUCGAACGGUAACAGGAAGAAGCUUGCUUCUUUGCUGACGAGUGGCGGACGGGUGAGUAAUGUCUGGGAAACUGCCUGAUGGAGGGGGAUAACUACUGGAAACGGUAGCUAAUACCGCAUAACGUCGCAAGAGCAAAGAGGGGGACCUUCGGGCCUCUUGCCAUCGGCUGUGCCCAGAUGGGAUUAGCUAGUAGGUGGGGUAACGGCUCACCUAGGCGACGAUCCCUAGCUGGUCUGAGAGGAUGACCAGCCACACUGGAACUGAGACACGGUCCAGACUCCUACGGGAGGCAGCAGUGGGGAAUAUUGCACAAUGGGCGCAAGCCUGAUGCAGCCAUGCCGCGUGUAUGAAGAAGGCCUUCGGGUUGUAAAGUACUUUCAGCGGGGAGGAAGGGAGUAAAGUUAAUACCUUUGCUCAUUGACGUUACCCGCAGAAGAAGCACCGGCUAACUCCGUG